rnacentral:rRNA from 1 species
GACGAACGCUGGCGGCGUGCUUAACACAUGCAAGUCGAGCGGUAAGGCCCUUUCGGGGGUACACGAGCGGCGAACGGGUGAGUAACACGUGGGUGACCUGCCCUCAGCUCUGGGAUAAGCCUGGGAAACCGGGUCUAAUACUGGAUAUGACUCCAUGACGCAUGUUGUGGGGUGGAAAGCCUUGUGCGGCUGAGGAUGGGCCCGCGGCCUACCAGCUUGUUGGUGGGGUGAUGGCCUACCAAGGCGACGACGGGUAGCCGGCCUGAGAGGGCGACCGGCCACACUGGGACUGAGACACGGCCCAGACUCCUACGGGAGGCAGCAGUGGGGAAUCUUGCGCAAUGGGCGAAAGCCUGACGCAGCGACGCCGCGUGAGGGAUGACGGCCUGU